UACGGAAGGCAGCAGUGGGGAAUAUUGCACAAUGGGCGCAAGCCUGAUGCAGCCAUGCCGCGUGUAUGAAGAAGGCCUUCGGGUUGUAAAGUACUUUCAGUCGUGAGGAAGGUGUUAGGGUUAAUAACCUUAGCAAUUGACGUUAGCGACAGAAGAAGCACCGGCUAACUCCGUGCCAGCAGCCGCGGUAAUACGGAGGGUGCGAGCGUUAAUCGGAAUUACUGGGCGUAAAGGGCACGCAGGCGGUUAAUUAAGUUGGAUGUGAAAUCCCCGGGCUUAACCUGGGAAUGGCAUUCAAGACUGGUUAGCUAGAGUCUUGUAGAGGGGGUAGAAUUCCAUGUGUAGCGGUGAAAUGCGUAGAGAUGUGGAGGAAUACCGGUGGCGAAGGCGGCCCCUGGACAAAGACUGACGCUCAUGUGCGAAAGCGUGGGGAGCAAACAGGGAUUAGAUACC
rnacentral:rRNA from 1 species